rnacentral:snRNA from 1 species
CGGGUGCACCGCCGACCGA